rnacentral:lncRNA from 1 species
CUCUCGCUUCGACUUCUCGGGAUUUCUUGUUAGCUGAAGUUUUGUUUUCUUCCACUAAUUCGAUCUUCGAAAGGUCUCAGAGCUCCAAGUAACUCAGUAAGCUCGGUUUUCUUCUAUUCUCUUGGAUACUUGCUUACACAUUCCUUUUUUUUGUGUUAAAUUUGUUGUUUUGUUGUGUUAUAUGGAUCGAUGAGAGUCACAGACUUUGAAUUGAAAAAUGAAAAUUAGUUUUUUUUUCUGUGCUACAAAAAUGGGCGGAGACUGCAAGCAAGAGGGAAUGAAGCGACUCGAGUCACGAAGAGUCCUGUGACUUGCGAGAGGUGACAUGUAACUAUGAGAAAUUGAAAUAUUUGAUUAUCGAGUAAAUAACAUUGAGUUCCCUAUAUUUUUAUUUUUAGUAAAUAACGAUACAUUAGUUUCAGUUUAUUUCAAAUAGGUUCCUCAUCCUUUGCCAGUGACCAAGUUGUGCAACCCUAACAUCCACAGCACCUCUUUUCGCUUCAAUCAUGACCGGAGCAUCAGAGCUUGAGUCUAUCCUUUUAUGUUCAUCUCCGUCUUGUUCUUCAUCCAUUUUUGCAUCUUCUACAUGAAUGGCUUCUGGUUCUUUGGUUUGAUUUUCUUCUGUGCUGCCUUUUGGUUCUCUCCCUUCGCCGACUUGUUCAGCCACUUUCGUAGUUUCAAUUCUGGAGCUCUGAAGGGGGCCAGUCAAUGAAGCUGUAGCUGAGUCCAUCAAUGCUGAUUCCUCAGUUUUUAUUUCCCCUGAUUCUUGUGGUUGUUGCUCUCCUUCGAGGUUAAUCUUUGCUUUUUGUGGAGUUUCUGUGGUUCCUUAUUGCUCAAAAAUUUUUGGCGCAAACUCAUCUCCAGUUUGAACUGGUGUGUAUGGGCGCUCAAUGAGAUCUGCUUCAGUUGUUGCAUAAGAGCUUUUCUCUAACUCACUAGUUUCUUGAAUGAUUUUGCUGUCUGUUGCAAACCCCCUUAUGCUUUCUUUUUGUGACAUCGCCAUACUCGAUUCUUGAUAAAAUUAAAAGUAAAGCUGCUCAAAUUGUGAAAAAUAAAAGAAAAACCGAAAUGUCUAAUUAAUAUCUGCAAGCAAAAUGGCUUUCAUAAUUUAGCUGCAUUCUUGUCCUACUAAGUUAUGUUU